rnacentral:rRNA from 1 species
UAGUGCCAUUCUAAGAGAUUAGGAGUUCCCUUCGGGGACACUAAGACAGGUGGUGCAUGGCUGUCGUCAGCUCGUGUCGUGAGAUGUUGGGUUAAGUCCCGCAACGAGCGCAACCCUUGUUAUUAGUUGCCAGCAUUAAGUUGGGCACUCUAAUGAGACUGCCGGUGACAAACCGGAGGAAGGUGGGGAUGACGUCAAGUCAUCAUGCCCCUUAUGACCUGGGCUACACACGUGCUACAAUGGGCAGUACAACGAGAAGCGAGCCUGCGAAGGCAAGCGGAUCUCUUAAAGCUGUUCUCAGUUCGGACUGCAGUCUGCAACUCGACUGCACGAAGCUGGAAUCGCUAGUAAUCGCGGAUCAGCACGCCGCGGUGAAUACGUUCCCGGGCCUUGUACACACCGCCCGUCACACCAUGGAAGUCUGCAAUGCCCGAAGCCGGUGGCCUAACCACUUAUGUGGAAGGAGCCGUCUAAGGCAGGGCAGAUGACUGGGGUGAAGUCGUAACAAGGUAGCCGUAGGAGAACCUGCGGCUGGAUCACCUCC